UACGUAGGGUGCGAGCGUUGUCCGGAAUUACUGGGCGUAAAGAGCUCGUAGGUGGUUUGUCGCGUUGUUCGUGAAAACUCACAGCUCAACUGUGGGCGUGCGGGCGAUACGGGCAGACUAGAGUACUGCAGGGGAGACUGGAAUUCCUGGUGUAGCGGUGGAAUGCGCAGAUAUCAGGAGGAACACCGGUGGCGAAGGCGGCAUCCUGGACCAACACUGACACUGAGGAGCGAAGGCCAGGGGAGCAAACGGG
rnacentral:rRNA from 1 species